rnacentral:rRNA from 1 species
UGGGGGAUAUUGCACAAUGGGCGAAAGCCUGAUGCAGCGACGCCGCGUGGGGGAUGAAGGCUUUCGGGUUGUAAACCUCUUUCGCUAUCGAACAAGGCCCGCUUAGGGUGGGUGGAGGGUAGGUGGAGAAGAAGCGCCGGCUAACUACGUGCCAGCAGCCGCGGUAAUACGUAGGGCGCGAGCGUUGUCCGGAAUUAUUGGGCGUAAAGGGCUUGUAGGCGGCUUGUUGCGCCUGCUGUGAAAACGCGGGGCUUAACUUCGCGCGUGCAGUGGGUACGGGCAGGCUUGAGUGUGGUAGGGGUGACUGGAAUUCCAGGUGUAGCGGUGGAAUGCGCAGAUAUCUGGAGGAACACCGAUGGCGAAGGCAGGUCACUGGGCCAUUACUGACGCUGAGGAGCGAAAGCAUGGGUAGCGAACAGG